CGUCUACUACAAGAUGUAUGUGGCUUGGUUAGACGAGUGAUAUACGUAGACAAUACUGGGGUUUGCAUAGUUUCCACAAUCUGACUAGAUUUGAGAGAAUCGAAAGAAAAUAUGUUGAA
rnacentral:sRNA from 12 species